AGGGUUGCUGAAGAAUACUGGGAUCAUCCACGUAAGGCCUCAACACUUGCCAGUUGUUUGCACAUCAUGCUCUGUGACAUAAGGUCUUGUGCUGGUAUCCACCAUGUUCCCCUUCUGGAACUCUGUAGGCUGCUUCAAAGAUGGGCUAGAAAUGUUCUACUGCAUUAUUUGUAAAAGUUUCCCGCAAGUGUAAGAAUCAAAAGGGAGUGAAAGCUUCCGAUGGUCAACAGGAAACCCUCCCCACUCCCCAACUCUGCUCUGGGAACCUCACAGACUUCCUGAAGUAAAAAACAAACACCGUGACCAGUUUCUACUUCUUGUAAGAAUUUAAUUCUUCCUUUAAUAUAAAUAAGGCAGCAUGAAACACCGAGAGCCCUGCUGCUCUCUGCUUCAGAAGCAGCUUUGCUGCAUAAAGACCCCCAUUUCCCC